AACGCAUAUGGCACCCGAGACCUCGGUCGAGGGUAUGUCUGCCUCAGAGUCGGCGUGAAACAUCCCUCCGGGUAAGCGUAACAGCGAACCCUUCGGGAGGGGAGCUGGCCUUCCCACGCGAUCCGGUGUCCGGAUCGGCAUUCCGUGGGUCGGCCGAAGGACAGAGACGAGGGACCGGUGGGUCAGCGACCACUGGACUACCACGAUUUGGUGGGAGGAAGGGAGCGAACGCUCCCCUGUCCGCAACAUCGUCGUGCGUCCUUGGGAGCCCCGCGAGGUCGUCCUCGCCCUGCAGGAAGAACGUUGCUUCGUUGAAAAAUCAGUUUCGACCUGAGUUCAGGCAAGAUCACCCGCUGAACUUAA
rnacentral:misc_RNA from 1 species